UUCCGUCCUGGUCGUAAGCCUCGUCUUCUGGUCUGCGGGACAGCCAAAAGGAGGGUCAUUAAAAGUCACUUCCUAGUUCUGCCAAGUUCUAAGAAAGUCCAGUUGAUUUUCCUUCUUCGUUAUGGUCUCCCAUGGAGAAUUGCCCUUACUUCCAGAAUGGUCCCGGGAACAAGAUUCCAACUCUUGAAAUCAUCUCCACUUGGGAAAUUUGUUGAAUGGGAAUCUGGAUCCAGCAAACCCAUGGCAAAUUAAACUAUCUGCUCUUGUGCAGACCAGUGAAGUGGAGCUCAGUUUCUCAGGGAAACCCAAAUGUUCUGCCACCGAACAUCAUGACCAAGACUUACAUUGCUGCCUGCAUCAUGCUCUUCUGAAAUCAUUGUGAAGUAAGGAGAUGAUGAGCUUGCCCAUAAUGUGUCAUGACUUCUCUGACCUUCAGACUGGAGUGCCUCCCACUCUGAAAACAACUAGGAAAGGAAGCCUUUCCAAACCACAUGAGUAAAGCACUUCUCUCUAAUCCAAGAAACGAAUUGCAUGCUCACAUGGCAAAAAAAAAAAAAAAAAAAAAAAAAAAAAAAA